GACCAGAUUGCUCAGUUGGUAGAGCACCUGUCUAGAGGUUCAGAGGAUCUGGGUUCAAAUCAUGAUCUGGUUA
rnacentral:tRNA from 1 species